UUAAGAGUGAUCUUCACAGUCAGAUCCUCCGAGUCAUCUUGCGGUGCUCGUCACGGGACUGUAAAGGGAGCGGCAUCCAAUACCAGGGAGGGAUCUCACAGGCACAGCUCCCUGGGCUGAUGCAAAAACCUUCCUAACGAGCUUCUUCUCUCCAGUCUCAGCCAAGAGCUGGCUGGACCGCCCAAUUGCUACAUUGCUUUGGCUAUAAUGAUUGCAAUUUGGCAGCUUACAGGAUGUUGAACCGGGGACCGGAGAGGGAGAAGAUAGUAGGCCCGGUUGCCAAAGGCAAUGCCGGAAAAGACAGAAGGAUGAAUUUAUGGUGGCCCGUGGUCCUAGAGCUGGAAGGGAAAGUAAAGGGAUUUUAAGACUCCAGCAGGUGCUCUAACUCCUGCUGUACCCCUAAGCUUCAUUUCCCUCCAAGAUCCAGACCGUAGCUAGAGGGGAUGCGAUUAGGGGCCAGGACUAUGACUCACUGAUCAAAAAGGACGCUUCCAACUACUUUGCACUUUUGGUUGUGUAUUAUGGAUACUAAGGAGGAGAAGAAGGAACAGAAGGAACGGAAACAGAGUUAUUUUGCUCGGAUGCUUGGUAGACUUUCCCAUUCUGACAGAGGGAAACCGUGAUGGCUGCGUAGAUGGAAAGACUGGCUGGUACAGUGGGUGUUCAGACAGUUCAUCCCAGCCCUUCCUCCAUGGAGACCUGCACUUUGAUCCUCACUCAGUUCUCAUCCCCAUCGGCUGCUCUCAUCCUGUGAUCUGUUCCUGUUGUUGAGAUCAGGAAGAAGGAACUGUUAUAUAAUAAGCCAAAUUGGAAUCACAUGCUUCCCAGAGACACUGUUAGGUAGUACAGUUAGGUACUCAAAAAUUAUGAAGGAAAUUAUAUAGUCCAAAGGGCUUUGGGAAAGCUGAAUUUCCCAUGCACUUAACAGUUGGGUCCUAAGCCCAUGAGACAAAAGUAUCGAUGAUGUACUUACUGGUUUAGUACUUUAGAUUCAGUGACUGGUAAUCAAAGUCACUGUCAUAUCUCAGGGAGGCAUGCCAGAGCUGCAGACUCCCUGUACUACCAGGAAGAUGUUGAGGUAGCCAGAGGUCUGGACUGGUCACCUUUAUCUGUGAUCAGCAUCUUUUUCCAGGGCUUAGUAUAUUAUUACCCCCUUCCUCCAUGCCUUGAUGGGAAAAAAAGCUUUGAAAACAGAUCCUUAGAAUCUUCAUGCCAAACGUCUGAUAUGUGAAAAUCUUCAUCCGCAAAUAGGAAUUGACUGUUAGGUUAGUUUAGACCUAAAGAUGUGGCUAUCAGGUCAACAGCAAAGCAGCAUCUAAAACCCUGCCUUGCCUUCCCAUCCAGAGCUUGUGCUCUCUCACCCUGCUCACAGCCACGUGGCACUCUUGUGGCUAAAAACAGCUUGUAGAGUGCAGCUUCUUAAACUGGGCCACACCCCUAAUGGGGUGUAACUUAAGUGUGGGUGUCUUGAGAAAGAUGACACAAAUAAAAGGGUUCUUGACUUAGAAUAACCAACGUGUAACUCAAAAUCAAACGUCAAGUGAAUUCCAGGAUCUUCUGGGCAGUUUGCCGUUGCACAGCUUCCCAGCAUCCUUGGAUCUGAACACACAGCCAGCGUGUAGCUGUGCACCAUUGUGCCUCUCAGUGCUGGGGAAUGUUGCUGGAAACACCUCUGCUCUGGUUUGAGACUGUUGUGUGCUUUGAACUGUGGUGUAUUUACUAUAUAAACAAGUCCUCUGCUUUCGUAGAAACACAGUUUAAUUAUAGAAAGCAAAGACGUACAUUUUCCUACUCCUAUUCCUUAGCAUGUUAAGUAUCAAGUGAGUGUAUCUUCCAAACUAUGUAAUAGUGGUUGGUUUUUAAAAUUUAUUUUUAUUAUUAUUUACUUAUGUGUACAUGUAUAUGUCUCCAUAUGAGUGAGGAGGACAGAGGCGUGGCAGAUCUCCUGGAGCUGGGGUUACAGGCAGCUGUUGGGGUUACAGGAAGCUGUUGAGCUGCCAGAUGUGGGUGCCGGGAAUUGAACUCAGGUCCUCUGCAAGAAUGGUAUGUGCCCCUAACCUGUGAGCCAUCAUUCCAAUGCCAUAGCUCCUGAUUUAAAACAAAACAAAACAAAACUGGUGUUUGAAUUGUUGACCUGAGUUUAACUUUAGAAAAAACAAUCAUUAAAUGCAUUUGAGCUUGGAAAUAGGACACAAUGUGUAAUAUAAUGGUUUCUGGGGUGCCUUGAGCAUACCUGUACACUCUGAGCUGUGUAUUUGUGGAGUGACAUCCUCAGCCUUGACAGUUAUAAGGCAAAAAUUGGAUCUUUUCUGAAGAAUAUUGAAAAUGCUGAUUGUCCAAUAAUCAGCCAAGAGUUCAUUCUGUCUUGUUAAUAUAGAAGAUUACAUUCAUCUUUAAUAAAUGAUAAAAUUAUAUGUAUGCCAAAAUUAUUUUAAAGUGAGUUCAUGAUUUAUUAUCAGUAAAUAUUUAAUGUGUAUUCGUGUUUUAUAAUACCUGCACAUACAGGGUCACAUAUAAGUCCCUCAGAUAAAAAGGAGUUAUAUGUGGAAAAAAUCUGAAGAAUUCUGCUAUAGGUUAACUCAGGUUGUGUGGCGUGCUAAUCCUAACAGUGUGGGAGGAACAGACAUCUGUGGGCAAUCCUGGCAGCUUAAACUAAGUUAACCCAUUGUAAAUUAAAUUGGAAAAAUUCAUCCUAGCCUCUGGAAUUUCAAGUUUAAUAAAGAUCUUUUCAAAGUA